GAUGAACGCUGGCGGCGUGCCUAAUACAUGCAAGUCGAGCGAACAGACGAGGAGCUUGCUCCUCUGACGUUAGCGGCGGACGGGUGAGUAACACGUGGAUAACCUACCUAUAAGACUGGGAUAACUUCGGGAAACCGGAGCUAAUACCGGAUAAUAUAUUUAACCGCAUUGUUCAAUAGUGAAAGACGGUUUUGCUGUCACUUAUAGAUGGAUCCGCGCCGCAUUAGCUAGUUGGUAAGGUAACGGCUUACCAAGGCGACGAUGCGUAGCCGACCUGAGAGGGUGAUCGGCCACACUGGAACUGAGACACGGUCCAGACUCCUACGGGAGGCAGCAGUAGGGAAUCUUCCGCAAUGGGCGAAAGCCUGACGGAGCAACGCCGCGUGAGUGAUGAAGGUCUUCGGAUCGUAAAACUCUGUUAUUAGGGAAGAACAAAUGUGUAAGUAACUAUGCACGUCUUGACGGUACCUAAUCAGAAAGCCACGGCUAACUACGUG
rnacentral:rRNA from 1 species